GAUGAACGCUGGCGGCGUGCUUAACACAUGCAAGUCGAACGAAGCACUUAGAUCUCUUCGGAGUGAUGAGUGACUGAGUGGCGGACGGGUGAGUAACGCGUGGGUAACCUGCCUCGUACAGGGGGACAACAGUUGGAAACGACUGCUAAUACCGCAUAAGCGCACGGUAUCGCAUGAUACAGUGUGAAAAGCUGAGGCGGUACGAGAUGGACCCGCGUUGGAUUAGCUAGUUGGUGGGGUAACGGCCCACCAAACCUACGAUGGAUAGGGGUUCUGAGAGGAAGGUCCCCCCACAUUGGAACUGAGACACGGUCCAA
rnacentral:rRNA from 1 species